UCUUCCGCAAUUGACGAAAGUCUGACGGAGCAACGCCGCGUGAGUGAUGAAGGCUUUCGGGUCGUAAAACUCUGUUGUUAGGGAAGAACAAGUGCUAGUUGAAUAAGCUGGCACCUUUACGGUACCUAACCAGAAAGCCACGGCUAACUACGUGCCAGCCGACGCGGUAAUACGUAGGUGGCAAGCGUUAUCCGGAAUUAUUGGGCGUAAAGCGCGCGCAGGUGGUUCCUUAAGUCUGAUGUGAAAGCCCACGGCUCAACCGUGGAGGGUCAUUGGAAACUGGGAGACUUGAGUGCAGAAGAGGAAAGUGGAAGUCCAUGUGUAGCGGUGAAAUGCGUAGAGAUAUGGAGGAACACCAGUGGCGAAGGCGACUUUCUGGUCUGUAACUGACACUGAGGCGCGAAAGUGUGGGGAGCAAACAGA
rnacentral:rRNA from 1 species